CACGAGAAUUGAAGGCCUAGGUGUAAUAUUAAUGAUCGCGGGAACUGGGAACGAGAAUGCACGCGCCCGUAAGCAAUCGGGUUUGCGAUCAUUCUCGAGCAUGCGUACUAACUUUUGGCGCCAUUAUCGAACGUUGGCCGUUGGGAUUUGCUUCGACGAGGGAUACGGAUAAAAUACAAGCGUAAAACCUCGUUUGUUGCAGUAUAUUCUGGACAAAUAAACAAUUUAUUAGGAAAAUACGUUCAAGAAACGUCUCGUGCUGUACUAGCCUAAUUCUGGCAAAUGUUAUUUACUUUCUUCACCUUCGUGUCGAAGACUGUUGUUUGCUGAUGGCCAAAUCACGACAGCGGACAUCAAUUAUUCAAAAUAUGUUCUUAUAGCUUCACGUUUACGAUACGAAACACGUUUUAAUGUAAGAUUAUUUAUUUUUUGUAUAUGUAGGUUGUAGUUGAAAGUGACAGCGACAAUGAAAAAAGUGCAAACAACAUUGAAAUAUCCAGUUCACUACUAGCUCAAAUCCUGCGACAUAUCACUUGCUAGUAGCCCAGUCUAGUUUAACUUUUCCCAAUCAAGAAUCAUCUCCUGAAUCAGGCAUACUGGCAACACUGGUUCAUUUGAUAAUGUAAGUUUUUAAACUGGUAUUUUAGAUUAUAGCCUCGGUCAAAUGAGGAUGAAAGUCAUGCAUGAAUUGCUUAUAAAUACACAAAGGACAUUUCAAGUUCCACAUGAACAAAAUAUUAUUAAAGCUUUGAUGAGUGUUCCAACUAUGUUUCAACUUAAUUAAAAUACUCUCAUCCUCGUUUGAUCCAUAAUUAUUUGUUGAUUUUACUCGAUACUAAAUAGUGAAACAUCGAAUCCAGAUAAAAUCUUAUGCAGAACCCACUGUAAUUCCGAGCUGUAAUCACAUAAUUAUAUAAAAGUCGUUUCAGUAGCAGCAAAAGCCAAACUAAACACCAACUAGGAUUAAUAGGUUUAGCUUUUAGGCCGAGAAUAAUACACGAUUGACAAUUUUGUGGCUGAUUGAUUUAAUAGUAUACUGUAUAUUGAUGUUGUUGUAUACAGGACAUCUGACUUACAUGUCAAAUUAAUAGUCGAAUCUAUGAUUAUAUUGAGCAUGGCAGAUUUGACAUUUGAAACAUUGUUGAUGUUAAUAACCCAAUGAGUCGCAUUGCGCCCUGAUGCGCACUAAGUAUUUAUUAUUUUACUCUGGUUAUCUAACGCUAGGCAAUUUUACUCAUCAAGGGGAGAGCACUGGCGGUUAAUGUGUUAACUAGCCUAUCUGCCCAUGUUUACAGUUAACCCAUUGAGUCGCAUUGUGCCCUAAUGCGGCCUAAUUUAUUAUUUUACUCUGCCUAUCGCAGGACAAUUUUACUCAUUAAGAGCAGAGCGCUGGCGCUUAAUGUGUUAACUGGCCUAUCUGCCCAUGUGUCUAGUUAACCCAUCGAGUCGCAUUGCGCCCUAAUUUAUUAUUUUACUCUUUCUAACGCCAGACAAUUUCACUCAUUAAGGGGAGAGCAUCGGUACUUAAUGGGUUAACUGGCCUAUUUGCCCAUGUUUAUAGUUAACACAUUGAGUCGCAUUGCGGCCUACUUUAUUUAUUUUUAUUUUACUCUGUCUCGAGAGGAGAACGCUGGUGCUUAAUGGGGUUAAUAUUGAAAAUAUAGAUCAACAUUUGUCAAAACUCAUGACUUGUGCAAUCAUUUCUGUAAUAAUUAAGAUAUUAAAAUACCAAAUAUAAUGCCUUAUGGCUUAUUUCAAAUAGGGAGAUGCCAUGUGACUAUGUCCAUUGAAACUUAGUGGAUUUGUUGUAGCUACAUCAAAUAAAUGCUAGCCAAAAACAUAUUCAAGUCAAUCGAAGAGAAUGUGGAAUUGCACUUUACAUAAAAUUCCCUAGUUAUUGUACAUUAGUAUAAUUACAUAGGUGAUUAUUGAAAAUUCUCCACGCUGAUUGGUUGCCGUUGAGGUGAUUAUUACGCGAUAAUCACCUAAGCGAUUUUCAAAAUGGCGGUCGAAGCCGUUUUGUCAAUUAAAUGACGAAGAAAUGUGCAUUUUAAAAUUUGUUUCCAAAUAUUCACCUAUGAAAUUAUACUAAAACAAUUAUUCACCUCAGGCUCGGUGAUUAUCGUGAAUAAAAACCUCGACUUCGUCUCGGUUUUUAUUCACCGAUAAUCACCUCGACUUCGGCGAAUAAUUGUUAAUAAAUGAAAAAGCAUUUGAAAUGGAAAUAUAUUGUUUUAAUUUUAUUACUAUGGUUUGUACUAUGAUAUACAUGGGCUACACACUCUUUGGGAACCCGCAGGACUGUUGGUAGAGCAUUUCCAUGAUCUGGAACUUCAGUCCUAAACACGAUGUGUGGGUGCGAAAAUGUUGUGUAGGAACAGAACUGUACAGAUUAGAAAUAUGAUUACUGAUAUUUUCCAAAGAAAAACUAUUAAUAUAUAGAAGAGAAAAGAAAGAGGCAAUAAAUAGCCCAAAGUAUCUGUUGUUCAUUUGAAAUUUAAAAAUGGUAGGCUUAUUAAGGAUGAGAUACAGAGAAAAACAGUAAUGCAGAACUACAUUCUCUUAAAUUGUCAAAAUUAAACGCUACCAGUCUUGGUCUCGUUUCAAACUUGAAUAACGAAAAGUCUAAAAAUAUAAAACUAUAAGAACAGAUCAGCUAAAUGAUGAAGGAAAGCUGUCAUUUUAGGAAAGUAUUGUUUUGGGGUGUGUGAACUCAUGAGGUUACAUGUUUCUGGUGAAUCUGCUUGCUGCAGCAAAAAUUUAUUAAUCGUUUGUGACAUAAUUCACAAGAUGUCUCUUUAAACCUGUGGGUUGCCAAACUUCUUAAAUAUGGAGUUUGUUUUGUCUGACCAAGAUAUAAUGAAUACCACUAGUGACAUGAGUAUGUCCAAUUAAUAUUUAACUGGAAAUAAAUGCAUGCAGCAACCCCAAGCCUAUAUUUUCCAAACAUUGAUUUAACAUGAACUAUUAGCAAAUGGCCAGCACUGAACACAGGCUCACGUUGUGUCAAGUGUUGUCAACGCAACAUAAUGUCACAUUAUAUUUUAAAUUUUUUUGAGUAAAUUUGCAAGUGUUCAUACCACAGAAUCUACCAUACAUAAUUUUAAACAAAUAGAUAGGUGAAGUAAUUCAAACAAAAUGAUUUUGAACUUUAUUCCUCUACUCUGUCGAAUGCCUAUUCUACUCGUAAAGGGGAGAGCCCUGGUGCUUAAUGGGUUAAAUAAGAUUGUAUAGUUAUAUGUAUAUCAUGUAUUAUGUUUUUAUGCAGUCUCCCUGAAUCACUUGUACCAGGCUAUGGAAAUUCAUGUUUCCAAUUUUGUAUUUAUUUUUCUUAUGAUACAGUAUACUGUAAAUUUGAAUAAUAUUUGUGUGCUUAUAGUGAGCUUAUUUUUAGGAGAGUUUGUUGCGAGGCAGCAUAUAUUUUGAUAUUUCAAAAUAUUACUGUAUAUUGGUAUGUUAUAUAAUGCUUUUGGAAGGGUUAUAGGGGUCGGGUGUGAUAUACUUUUUCAGGUAUUUUGUGUCUGAUGUAUGUAAGAGCUUUAUUAUUGGGUUUCUUGGUGAGACCUUAAGCCUGCAGCACACGAGAGCUAUCUGCUGAGCCAAAAGUUACUCGUGUCUGUUAGCUCAGCCGAUAGCUCACCGAUCAAACAUGUUUGAUACGUGAGAAAAGGUUGCAUGAGGCAAAAAAACUCAGUAAAAUGUAUCCGCACACGGUGAGCUAUCGGCUGAGCUAACAGGCACGAGUAACUUUUUGCUCAGCAGAUAGCUCUCCUGUGCUGCAGGCUUUAUAUCUUAUGUGUCCUAUAACCCUCUGUAAUUGCGGAUUAUUGCAUACAUUCUAAUUGUAUUUUUUUGUAGGAGUCCAAAGAUGCAAAUGAUACAAUUUCAAACUUAUCACAACCCAUAUUGUGGCCGCUGGCAGCGAACUAGAAUACGACUAGAAACUGUCAAUCAUACGUUAUCGAUUGAAAGGGUGAAAGUUCCAUAACAAGCAACAGUUGUUUUGAUGCAAUUAUCGCCUUAUUGGCAAGUUUUUACAUCUUCAAUAUUGAGUACUGCCACACGAAGAGCAUCUUGUCUGCCUUGCAGACUAUAGUAGUGCAUGGCCAACACAGAA